AAGCUGGAAUCGCUAGUAAUCGCAGAUCAGAAUGCUGCGGUGAAUACGUUCCCGGGUCUUGUACACACCGCCCGUCACACCAUGGGAGUCGGAAAUGCCCGAAGCCAGUGACCCAACCUUAAGGAGGGAGCUGUCGAAGGUGGAGCCGAUAACUGGGGUGAAGUCGUAACAAGGUACC
rnacentral:rRNA from 1 species